GAUUGUAGGCUGAAACUACGCCUACAUGAAGCUGGAGUUACUAGUAAUCGCAGAUCAGAAUGCUGCGGUGAAUGCGUUCCCGGGUCUUGUANACACCGCCCGUCCCACCACGGAAGUUGGGGCGCCCGAAGCCACUUAGCUAACCCUUUUGGGAAGCGAGUGUCGAAGGUGAAAUCAAUAACUGGGGUGAAGUCGUAACAAGGUAGC
rnacentral:rRNA from 1 species